CCUACGGGAGGCAGCAGUGAGGAAUAUUGGUCAAUGGACGAGAGUCUGAACCAGCCAAGUAGCGUGAAGGAUGACUGCCCUAGGGGUUGUAAACUUCUUUUAUAUGGGAAUAAAAUGUUCCACGUGUGGGAUUUUGUAUGUACCAUAUGAAUAAGGAUCGGCUAACUCCGUGCCAGCAGCCGCGGUAAUACGGAGUAUCCGAGCGUUAUCCGGAUUUAUUGGGUUUAAAGGGAGCGUAGGUGGAUUGUUAAGUCAGUUGUGAAAGUUUGCGGCUCAACCGUAAAAUUGCAGUUGAAACUGGCAGUCUGGAGUACAGUAGAGGUGGGCGGAAUUCGUGGUGUAGCGGUGAAAUGCUUAGAUAUCACGAAGAACUCCGAUUGCGAAGGCAGCUCACUGGACUGCAACUGACACUGAGACUCGAAAGUGUGGGUAUCAAACAGGAUUAGAUACCCCUGUAGUC
rnacentral:rRNA from 1 species